rnacentral:rRNA from 1 species
UACGUAGGGUCCGAGAGUUGUCCGGAAUUAUUGGGCGUAAAGAGCUCGUAGGCGGUAUGUCGCGUCUGCUGUGAAAGACCGGGGCUUAACUUCGGUUUUGCAGUGGAUACGGGCAUGCUUGAGGUAGGUAGGGGAGACUGGAAUUCCUGGUGUAGCGGUGAAAUGCGCAGAUAUCAGGAGGAACACCGGUGGCGAAGGCGGGUCUCUGGGCCUUACCUGACGCUGAGGAGCGAAAGCAUGGGUAGCCAACAGGAUUAGAUACACGUGUAGU